UACAGAGGUCUCAAGCGUUGUUCGGAUUCAUUGGGCGUAAAGGGUGCGUAGGCGGCGCGGUAAGUCGGGUGUGAAAUCUCGGGGCUUAACUCCGAAACUGCAUUUGAUACUGCGGUGCUUGAGGACUGGAGAGGAGACUGGAAUUUACGGUGUAGCAGUGAAAUGCGUAGAGAUCGUAAGGAAGACCAGUGGCGAAGGCGGGUCUCUGGACAGUUCCUGACACUGAGGCACGAAGGCCAGGGGAGCAAACGGG
rnacentral:rRNA from 1 species